rnacentral:lncRNA from 1 species
UUUAGUCACGUUUUCAUGUUCCAAUUGAACACUGUCCAUUUUUUAUUAUUCUCAAAGAAUAAGAUUAUUCUCUUUACCAAACACAUGGGGAUCCAAUCACGAUCUUAUGUAUAAGAAGAACAAAAGAUCUUUCUUGAUCAAUCCCUUUGCCUCUCAUUCUUCAAGAAUAAGGAAGAUCCUUUUCAAGUUUGAAUUUGUUCAUUUGAAAUCUGGGUUCUUCUACUUCAUAUUUAUUUAAUAUGAAUAUUUUCCCUCUCUUUUUUUUAUAUCAUUCCUUAAGUCCCAUAGGUUUGAUCCUGUAGAAUUUGACCCAUUUUCUCAUUGAACGAAAGGUACGAAAUAAAUCAGAUUGAUAAAAGUACCAUAGGUUUGAUCCUGUAGAAUUUGACCCAUUUUUCCCCUUCCUCGAUCCCUAUCCCAUAGGUUAGGUACAGUGUUUGAAUCAAUAGAGAA